rnacentral:snoRNA from 1 species
UUCUUGAAUGGAUAAAAUCCUCUUUUGCAACCCAGAGCUCAUUGUUAAGUAUGAGUUUUGAUACAGAUAAGAAGAUAUAAG